UGGGGAAUCUUCCGCAAUGGACGAAAGUCUGACGGAGCAACGCCGCGUGAGUGACGAAGGCCUUCGGGUUGUAAAGCUCUGUUAUCGGGGAAGAACACUUUCUAUGUGAACAAUGUAGGAAGUUGACGGUACCCGAGGAGGAAGCCACGGCUAACUACGUGCCAGCAGCCGCGGUAAUACGUAGGUGGCGAGCGUUGUCCGGAAUUAUUGGGCGUAAAGCGCGCGUAGGCGGGAUAUUAAGUCUCUUGUCAAAGUGCGGGGCUCAACCCCGUGAUGCGGGAGAAACUAAUAUUCUUGAGUGCCGGAGAGGAAAGCGGAAUUCCCAGUGUAGCGGUGAAAUGCGUAGAUAUUGGGAGGAACACCAGUGGCGAAGGCGGCUUUCUGGACGGUGUCUGACGCUGAGGCGCGAAAGCCAGGGGAGCGAACGGG
rnacentral:rRNA from 2 species